UGGAUAUUGUAAUUAUAGUUUUAGUAGACCACUCUGUAAAACCUAACAACUGUUAUCAGAGUAACACAUUUCUUAUUAUUGUAAAAAGUACAUUCGCCAAAUGAGUAUUAAAUGAGCCUUCUUUGUAGAAAGAUGUGUUUUAUUUUAGUAAAUUAUAGUUUGUAAUAUUCACCCUCAAAUUAGGGCUAAAAUAUAUUACACAUAGACGAAAUUCUUAAAGGAGAUACAGACAACUUGUUAUGAAGAUUAUUUUAUGGGUGCAUAGGGUUUGAGACAGGUUUGAGAUCCUUUAUCCAUUACAUUAUUCAUCUAAAGUUUUAAAAACUGUAAGCAGAAACAAGCAUGGAAAGUGAGCACCAGUGUUCAGAUUAUAGCUAAAUGAAAA
rnacentral:lncRNA from 1 species